rnacentral:piRNA from 1 species
UAUUAAAUGCUCAGAAAACCU